GUUUCCGUAGUGUAGUGGUUAYCACGUGCGUUUCACAAGCGCGAGGUCCUAAGUUCGAACCCCAGCGGAAAAA